rnacentral:rRNA from 1 species
AUUGAACGCUGGCGGCAGGCCUAACACAUGCAAGUCGAGCGAGCGGCGUACGGGUGAGUAAUGCAUGGGAAUCUACCCGAUAGCGGGGGAUAACUACUGGAAACUGUCGCUAAUACCGCAUACUAUAGGAUGAACCCAGAUGGGAUUAGCUAGUAGGUGUGGUAAAGGCUCACCUACCGACGAUCGCUAGCUGGUCUGAGAGGAUGACCAGCCACACUGGGACUGAGACACGGCCCAGACUCCAACGGGAGGCAGCAGUGGGGAAUAUUGCGCAAUGGGGGCAACCCUGACGCAGCCAUGCCGCGUGAAUGAAGAAGGCCUUCGGGUUGUAAAGUUCUUUCGGUAGCGAGGCGUUAACUACAGAAGAAGCACCGGCUACUCCGUGCCAGCAGCCGCGGUAAUUC